GUGUUAUAUAAUGUGGUUUGGCAAAAUUAUAAUCCACUAAAUUUUACCGUUUCUUUUCAUUUUCAAAUAUCAUGUUCUAUUAUUAUAUUUCCUUCUAUUUCACCAAAUAUAACCUGAAAUAUUCCAGGAAAAUAUUCACAUGCUGCAGGUGUGGAUGUGAAAUCAAUGUUUUUUUAAGGAUUGACAGCUUGUAUUAAAGAACAAGUAUCUUCUGAUUCGUCACUGGGGAAAUACCAUUUGCUUGAAAGCAUGGUGCUGCUUUUUCUUCAAUGAAAGCCAAAAGGUACCAGAAGGCUGCUUAAAGUCUCCCUCAAAGCCUUCUCUUCUCUAGGCUGUACAACCCCAGCUCUCCCAGCCUCUGGGAGACCAGAGAUGGUCCAGCCUCUGAUCAUCCUCAUGGCCUUCUUCUGGACCUGUCCCAAGAGGUCUGCAUCUUUCUAGUGCUUAGGACCCCAGAGCUGGAUGCAGCACUCAAGGUCCAUGGUGGCAAGCCCCUGAGAAUCCAAUGGCAUCACAUCUCUAUGCUUCAGUACAUAAUAGUUUCCUUUUCUCUCUCCUGGAAUACAAAGAAUACCAGUUCCUGUGGCAAACCAUUCCAGAUGACAUUUUGCAAAUAUAUGUCAUAGUUUCAUGGUCUGCAAGGAAUCAGUUGCUAAUCUUACUAAGUGAGCUCAGUCCCAAAGAGAUUAAAUUUCUUUUAAAAUUUAUUUAAAGAAAAUAAACUCAUUCAAACUCUAUCAAAAUUAUACAGAACUAUUCAGAUUUUCUCUUGCCACACUUUUUCCUUCAUGCCUUCUGUUCGCAGUGAUAGCUUAUGGUCUCUUUGUUUCACAUUACAUAGCUUGUUCUUUGGGAUUAAGAUUUUGUUUAUGAGAGUGCUCAUCAAAGAGUACAAACAGCAUCUCCAUGCAGUGCUGUCAAUCCAACAGUAAACCAUGUAUUGAACUGUAUGAACUCCACUUCUUGGUUUGUCCAAAUAGGUUAAUCACACUGCAUUGUUGACACAUCAUUUCCUGAGUACAGCAUGUAAGCAUUUAUCUUUGACUGUAAUGCUCCAGAAAGUCACAGAACAUUAUAUUUGUUUACAUCCAUGCUCUUCCAUCCUGGGAGAAAGUGACAUGUUGUUAGGGAGCCCAGGCUCUGACAAAUGGCACUGGCACAAAAAGUGGGCAGUUAAUGAUGCUAGAAUGGCAGAAGUUUGAUUAUUUAAUAAAGAAUGAGGAUGUCCAAGAAUAAAAAAUUGCAUAUAAGCAUAUAUUUUCCCUGCCAGCAGUCCAGAAAACCUUUCUUAUUGCCCUUAUACAGAAAACUGAAAAUUUUCAGAAUGGGUGAAGGACAUCCUCAGAGAGCACUCAUUUUUGUCAAUCUCUUCAUAUGGGUUUCUUAAACUCCUCCUUCUUCUGCUAAUGAUAAUAAUUAUUUUUAAAGCCUAUCAAGAAACUGGAAUUGGGAAAAAAAGUUACUAGUCGAUAAAAUGAAACAGUAAAAAAUUUGCCCUGUCCUUUGGUAUUAUAUUGCUUUAUUGAAAGAAUUGGCAGGCUGAUGAAUUUUCUCCAAAAAGAAGAAUGCAAAGCCCAUUUGCAUUUUAGGGCUUUGCUGGAUUACAUAUGUGGAUAAA